rnacentral:tRNA from 1 species
GGAUAUAUAGCUCAGUGGUAGAGUGCGUGCUUAGCAUGCAUGAGGUCCUGGAUUCAAUUCCCAGUGCCUCCA